GCGCGCUAGUCUCGUGGCUGCGCCUUUAUGGUGCUUCCGCACGGCGAGCGGCGCAUGCGCUCUGAGUCGGGGGCGGGCGGGCCGCGCCGGCUGGAGAUGGAGCCCGAGUCGAGCUUCGCGCACAUGGGGCUGGACGGGCGGCUGCUGCAGGCCAUUGCUGAGCUGGGCUGGGCCAAGCCCACGCUGAUCCAGGAGAAGGCCAUUCCGCUGGCCCUGGAGGGCAAAGACCUGCUAGCCCGGGCUAGGACAGGGUCUGGGAAGACGGCCGCCUAUGCCAUCCCCCUCAUCCAGCACUUGCUCCAAGUGAAGAUGUCCCCCUUGGUGACAGAGCAGGCUGUGCGCGCGCUGGUCCUGGUGCCCACCAAGGAGCUGGGCCAGCAGGUGCUGCAGAUGAUCCGGCAGCUGAUGGCGUACUGCUCCCGCGAUGUCCGUGUCGCCGACAUCUCCGGGCAGGUGGACAUGUCUGCCCAGAGGCCCAUCCUGAUGGAGAAGCCGGACGUGGUGGUGGGGACGCCGUCGCGGGUCCUGGCUCAUCUGCAGGGCCACAGCCUGAGCCUGCGCCACUCCCUGGAGGUGCUGGUCCUGGACGAGGCUGACCUACUCUUCUCCUUUGGCUUUGAGGAGGAUCUGAAGAACCUGUUGUGCCACUUCCCCAAGAUCUACCAGAGCUUCCUGAUGUCGGCCACCUUCAGUGAGGAGGUGCAGGCGCUGAAGGAGCUGGUGCUACACAACCCAGUGACCCUGAAGCUGCGGGAGUCCCAGCUGCCGGAGGCAGCCCAGCUGUGCCAGUACCAGAUCCGCUGCGCGACUGAGGAGGACAAGUUCCUGCUGCUCUACGCGCUGCUCAAGCUGGGGCUGGUGCGGGGCAAGGCCAUCCUCUUCGUCAGCACCGUGGAGCGCGGCUACCGCCUCAAGCUCUUCCUGGAGCAGUUCAGCAUCCCGGCCUGUGUGCUCAACGCAGAGCUGCCCGUGCAGUCCCGGUGCCACAUCAUCAGCCAGUUCAACCGGGGCUUCUACGACUACAUCGUCGCCACCGACGAGCAGGUGCUGGCAGAGCCUGCAGCGCGGGCCAGGAGGAAGAAGGGCGCCAAGUCAGAGAAGGGCAAAGACCCAGAGUACGGCGUGGCACGGGGCAUCGACUUCCAGAAUGUCGCCACAGUCAUCAACUUUGACCCGCCCGCCUCGGUUGAGUCCUACAUCCACCGGGCCGGCAGGACAGCCCGCGCUGACAACCCUGGCACAGCCCUGACUUUCGUGACACACCCAGAGUGCCCCUUGCUGGCCGAGAUCGAGGAGGCUCUUGCAGGAGAGAGCACCGAGCCCGUGCUGCGCCCCUACCAGUUCCGGAUGGAGGAAGUCGAGGGGCUCCGCUACAGAUGCCGGGACGCCAUGCGCUCUGUCACCAAGCAGGCCAUCAAGGAGGCACGGCUGCGGGAGAUCAAGGAGGAGCUACUCAACUCGGAAAAGCUGAAGCUGGGUCUCGACUCAAUGUGUCCCCGCAGACGUACUUUGAGGACAAUCCCCACGACCUGCGGCUGCUGCGCCACGACCGGCCCCUGCACCCGGCCAUCAUCAAACCGCACCUGCGCAACGUUCCCGAGUACCUGGUGCCCCCCACCCUGCGUGCCAUCGCCCAGCCCCUGCUCAACAAGCGCAAGCGACGGAAACACUUGGCCCCCAGCAGCAGCCGACCCAGGGCGGGCUUCCAGGCCCGGGGGGGGCGCAACCCUCUGCGGAGCUUCCGGUACAUGGGGAGGAGACCCCGGCACCUAGCCAGCAAAGGGGAGACAUCCUGAGCCGUGGGCCCCCGUCAGUGACAGCACCUGGCUGGACUCAGAACAGACAAUGUCCUAUGUGGCUGGGGCCGAUGCCCCCGCUGGGCCGAGAGGAGACAAGUGCUCCCCCUGCGCCCCUGCCUGGCUCCGCUCUCCGAACAGGGAUCUUCUGGGGCACCUGUGGCUGGGCGUGGGCAUCUUCUGCUGCUGGCGUCAGCCACAUCCUGGUGCCAGCCCCCGGGAGCCUGAGUCUGGCUGUGGGGAAAGGGGGCUGGGGCCGAAGGGUUGCGGACGGCAGCUGACCCCAAUAAAGCUCAAUGCUGGCUCCACUUGGCUGGGUCUCUCUCUUGGGGCUGGGCCACCCACUGCUCCCAUGGAGGCACCAGCCAGGGAACAGCUGGGGGUUGCUCUAAGCAGCAUGGAGGAGGGGAAACUGCUCUGUCCCCUCGCCCCCAGCCUGCUCUGGCUGGGAUGCUGGGAUGGCGGGGGCUGGAUGUGUCUUUUGCGGGGGUGUCUCGCCAGGCCUGGCACAGUGCUGGCCUCUCUGCCCAGCUGAGAGUGCCCAUGCUCAUCCCAUGGCUGCUAUGCUGCCAUAGAGGGUGGAACCAUGUCUGGAAGGCCCAGCCUGGGUGGUCUUUUCCACGGCCAGCAGAACCCCUGCUCCUCCUGGUACUGGGAGGUGCCGAGCGAGGGAGGGUGUUUGGGCAGCUGCCCUUGCUCUUGGCGCUCCCUCUGCCAGAGCGACGGGGUGGUACUGGCCAUCUGCAGGGUGAGGGGCGAGGGCUCCCCUAGCGUUCUAGGGGUUAAUGAGGAGCAGGCACCUCUCCCUGGGCAUGGGGGAGCUGGAAGUUAAUGCACUGCCCUGCUUGUGCCCCCCAACCCCUUGGUGCUGACUCAAGGCCUGGCCUUACAGCUACAGGAAGGAGGGGGCUCUGGUCAGGGCUGGCCUUGUGUCUCCAGGGCAGGGCUGCUCCUACCUGUGCCAGCUCUGUGUCUCGGGCCCCCCUCUCCCUCUGACAGCCAGGAAUGGGCAGGACUGGCUCCACCCGAGGCACAGGGUUGGGUGAGGGCCAACACCCCGCACGCUGGGGAAUCAGGCCUCUGCAUUUCCAUGUCUCAUCCUGUCCAGCCGCUCACUAAUUGUAAUGCUGGCUCCUUGGCACGCACGCUGGCUUGCCUGGCUCUGCUUAGCCCCCGCGGCUCUGGCCUUGGCUCCGUUAGUAAGCGAGUGCGGCAUCGCCCCCAGGGGCCAUCUGGCCAGAGUUACCCAGCCUGUGGGGAUGGCAGCUGGCACGGGCUAAUACAGAGGACCCAGCUUUCUGACCAUGGUUGCUCAGUCUCAGCUAGUGUUGGCCCCAGCAAGCCCUGCUGCAGGGGCCAGGCUGCACUGGGCGGAGGGUCCCGUUCCCCCAGACUUGGGGACAAGAGGUUCCACUUUAAGCCAUCGCCUGCAGUGGCUCCUGGUUACGGUGUGAGGCUCUCUGGCCCACUCGCUUGGACUCACACGGGGGGGACAUGCCUGGAACCUGGCUCGGUUCAAAGCCAGGGCGCGUGCUGCCCCGUCCAGGGACCCUGCUCUGGCAGCGUCCUUGGGGCUGGACUAGCAUCCAGCAGCAUACAGCACUGGGGGCUUUGGCAAACCCACUUUGCGCGGUGGCCUCGGGUUUCAUACCCUGGUGUCGGGGGAGGGGUGGGGGUGGCAGAGGAGGCAGCCGUGAGACGUAGGGGGGAUUCCACAUUUAGUUAUGGCCAAGGAUUGUGCUUCUCUGUGGCCCCAGAGGAUGCCCACCACCGCCUUUUAGAGCAAGUUGUCUUCACCUUUCAAAGUAAAAACCGCCUCAGGUGCUUGUAUCACCCCCAACACAGCCAGCAGUCAGCAAGAAGACCGGCCCCUAUGUUCAGUGCCCAGGGUGCAGGCCCGCUGGGUACACCGAGGCCUUCCCCUUCCCUGCUUGCUGCAGAACAAGAGCUGGGAUUGAAGGAACGAGCCAGACUCUCCUCCCCUGUACGGCAGGCCAGCGGACUGGGGCUGGGCUGGAUUUCUUGGGGCAAUCAGAGUACUGAACCUUUCAGCCCUUCAUUUCUCUGGCUUGUGCAGGGGGCUGUUCUGACUGCGUUGAAAGUGUGUGUCCCCCGGGACAGUGGGAUGGUUUGUUCCUGUAACCUCAAUAAGGAUUCUUUAUAAUACAGCCAUCAAAAGUGACAAACGCCAUAGCUUAUCAUUUGAGGACAUCAUCAAUGACUUUGCUCUCCCAGAAUCACAAAAGAAAAUAUUUUAAAUUUCAGUGUUAAAAUUAAUGUGAUGUGCAAACAGACAUACUGCGGGUUGUACUGCUUCUAUUAAGUAAGCUGGUCUGUAUAACUAAUUGCUUUUGUGUUGCUGUAGAUAUAAAGUUUUCAUAUCUACUAAUUAAGAUGAAAAUAUGUUAAUUUGAAACUAUUUUUUAUAAUGCAAACAGGAAUAUUGCAAGACGUGUUUUAGUUAGAUUAUUAUUCUAUUUUUACAACUUCGCCUUUGUAUAUAUGCAACUAUAAAGCCUUCGUGUUAUGUA